UUCGCAAUGCCCGAAAGGGUGACGAAGCGACGCCGCGUGCGGGAAGAAGGCCUUCGGGUUGUAAACCGCUGUCGGGAGUUAAGAAAUGUAAGGAUGUUAAUAGCAUCUUUGCUUGACUAAGGCUCCGGAGGAAGCCACGGCUAACUCUGUGCCAGCAGCCGCGGUAAUACAGAGGCGGCAAGCGUUGUUCGGAAUUAUUGGGCGUAAAGAGCACGUAGGCGGCUAUGUAAGUCGGUUGUGAAAGCCUUCCGCUCAACGGGAGAACAGCAUCCGAUACUGCAUGGCUUGAGUGCGGGAGGGGAGAGUGGAACUUCUGGUGGAGCGGUGGAAUGCGUAGAUAUCAGAAGGAACGCCGGCGGCGAAAGCGGCUCUCUGGCCCAUAACUGACGCUGAGUGUGCGAAAGCUAGGGGAGCAAACGGGAUUAGAUACCCCGGUAGUCCUAGCCGUAAAC
rnacentral:rRNA from 1 species